rnacentral:rRNA from 1 species
UACGAAGGGGGCUAGCGUUGCUCGGAAUCACUGGGCGUAAAGCGCACGUAGGCGGAUUGCUAAGUCAGGGGUGAAAUCCUGGAGCUCAACUCCAGAACUGCCUUUGAUACUGGCGACCUUGAGUCCGGGAGAGGUGAGUGGAACUGCGAGUGUAGAGGUGAAAUUCGUAGAUAUUCGCAAGAACACCAGUGGCGAAGGCGGCUCACUGGUCCGGUACUGACGCUGAGGUGCGAAAGCGUGGGGGAGCAAACAGGG